AAAAUUGUUACAGCAAUAGUUAUGAUCUCUGGAGACACAGUUGUGAUUAUUGGAGGUGCAUUUGUUGUGGUAAUGUGUGUUGCCUGGCUUAGAGCUGGAACUAUAUUAGUGAAAGCAACAGUUGUGCUUGAUAGAGGUGCAGUUGUUAUUUGGAAUGCAGUUGUUGUUGCCACUGUAGGAGUGUUCUUGCUUGAUGUCGUUGGAUCAUUAGUUGUUUUAGAUGUGGUUGAUGAAGCUGUAGUUGUGGUCUCUGCUGUUGUACUUUCUGAAGUGGUAGGCAGUGUUGUUGAAGUAAUGGGUGUGGUUUCUGUACUCACAACUGUGGAGGUGGGAGUUUCAGUAGUUGGGGAUGCUGUAGUUAUUGAUCUUGUUACAGGUGCAGUUGUUUCUGAAGAUGUAGGCAUUGUUGAAGUAAGAGUUGUGGAUUCAGAAGUUACAGCUGUUGAUGUUGUUGGAUCAUGUGUUGCAGUAGAUGUGGUUGAUAAAGCUGUAGUCGUGGUUUCUGCUGUUGUACUUUCUGAAGUUGUAGUCAGUGUUGUUGAAGUAGUAGUUGUGGUCUCUGUACUCACAACUGUGGUUGUUGGAAUUUCACUAGUUGACAAUCCUUUAGUUGCUGUUAUUCUUACAGGUGCAAUUGUUUCUGAAGAUGUAGGUAUCGUUGUUGAAGUAAGAGUUGUGGAUUCUGAAGUUACAGCUGUUGAUGUUGCUGGAUUGUUUGUUGUUGUAGAUGUGGUUGAUGAAGCUGUAGUUGUGGUUUCUGCUGUUGUACUUUCUGAAGUUGUAGGCAUUGUUGUGGAAGCAAUAGUUGUGGUUUCUGUACUCACAACUGUGGUGGUGGGAAUUUCAGUAGUUGAGGAUGCUGUAGUUAUUGAUGUUGUUACAGGUGCAGUUGUUUCUGAAGUUGUAGGAAUUGUUGUUGAAGUAAGUGUUAGGGAUUCUGAAGUUACUACUGUUGAUGUUGUUGGAUUGUUUGUUAUUGUAGAUGUGGUUGAUGAAGCUGUAGUGGUGGUUUCCACUGUUGUAAUUUCUAAAGUUGUAGGCAAUGUUGUUGAAGUAAUAGGUGUGGUCUCUGUACUUACAACUGUGGUUGUGGGAAUUUCUGUAGAUGAGGAAGCUUUAGUUACUGAUGUUGUUACAGGUGCAGUUGUAUCUGAAGAUGUAAGCAUAGUUGUUGAAGUAAGAGUUGUGGAUUCUGAAGUUACUGCUGCUGAUGUUGUUGGAUCAUUUGUUGUUGUAGAUGUGGCUGAUGAAGCUGCAGUUGUGGUCUCUGCUGUUGUUCUUUCUGAAGUUGUAGGCAGUGUUGUUGAAGUAAUAGUUGUGGUUUCAGUCCUCACAACUGUGGUGGUGGGAAUUUCAGUAGUUGAGGAUGCUGUAGUUACUGAUGUUGUUACAGGUGCGGUUGUUUCUGAAGAUGUAGGCAUUGUUGAUGUAAGAGUUGUGGAUUCUGAAGUUACAGCUGCUGAUGUUGUUGGAUCAUUUGUUGUUGUAGAUGUGGUUGAUGAAGCUGUAGUUGCGGUCUCUGCUGUUGUACUUUCUGAAGUUGUAGGCAGUGUUGUUGAAGUAAUGCUUGUGGAUUCUGAAGAUACAGCUGCUGAUGUCGUUGGAUCAUUUGUUGUUGUAGAUGUGGUUGAUGAAGCUGUAGUUGCGGUCUCUGUUGUUGUACUUUCUGAAGUUGUAGGCAGUGUUGUUGAAGUAAUGCGUGUGGUUUCGGUCCUCACAACUGUGUUGGUGGGAAUUUCAGUAGUUGAGGAUGCUGUAAUUACUGAUGUUGUUACAGGUGCAGUUGUUUCUGAAGAUGUAGGCAUUGUUGAAGUAAGAGUUGUCGAUUCUGAAGUUACAGCUGUUGAUGUUGUUGGAUCAUUUGUUGUUGUAGAUGUGGUUGAUGAAGCUGUAGUUGUGGUCUCUGCUGUUGUACUUCCUGAAGUUGUAGGCAGUGUUGUUGAAGUAAUAGUUGUGGUCUCUGUACUCACAUCUGUGGUUGUGGGACUUUCAGCAGUUGAGUAUGCUGUAGUUACUGAUGUUGUUACAGGUGCGGUUGUUUCUGAAGAUGUAGGCAUUGUUGAUGUAAGAGUUGUCGAUUCUGAAGUUACAGCUGUUGAUGUUGCUGGAUUGUUUGUUGUUGUAGAUGUGGUUGAUGAAGCUGUAGUUGUGGUUUCUGCUGUUGUACUUUUUGAAGUUGUAGGCAUUGUUGUUGAAGCAAUUGUUGUGGAUUCUGAAGUUACUGCUAUUGAUGUUGUUGGAUCAUUUGUUGUUGUAGAUGUAGGUGACAAAGCUGUAGUUGUAGGCAGUGUUGUUGAAGUAGUAGUUGUGGUCUCUGUACUCACAACUGUGGUUGUUGGAAUUUCACUAAUUGACAAUCCUUUAGUUGUUGAUAUUGUUACAGGUACAGUUGUUUCUGAAGAUGUAGGUAUUGUUGUUGAAGUUAGAGUUGUGGAUUCUGAAGUUACAGCUGUUGAUGUUGUUGGAUCGUUUGUUGUUGUAGAUGUGGUUGAUGAAGCUAUAGUUGUGGUUUCUGCUGUUGUACUUUUUGAAGUUGUAGGCAGUGUUGUUGAAGUAAUGGCUGUUGUUUCGGUCUUCACAACUGUGGUGGUGGAAAUUUCAGUAGUUGAGGAUGCUGUAGUUGUUGAUGUUGUUACAGGUGCAGUUGUUUCUGAUAAUGUAGGCAUAGUUGUUGAAGUAAGAGUUGUGGAUUCUGAUGUUACAGCUGUUGAUGUUUUUGGAUCGUUUGUUGUAGAUGUAGUUAAUGAACCUGUAGUUGUGGUUUCCACUGUUUUAACUGUAGCAGUGGAAUGUUCAGUUGUGGCUGUGGAUGCAGUAUUUGUUGUUUCAGCUGCUUUUGUCUUUUCUGAAGACGUAGUCAUGGUUGUUGAAGCAAGUCUUUCUGUAGUUAUAACCAUUGUUGCACCUGAAGAAUCUGAUGAGGUUGGAGCUGGUUUUGCUGAGGUUGAAAUGGCAAGUAUAGUUGUUCUUUCUGAAGCCGUAUAUCCUGAAGUUGAAGACUCCUUUUUUGAAGCACUGGAUUUUAAAAAGAAAAAUAUAAUAAAUUAUAUACCUUUUAAAUUAUUAUUAACUUAAAAAAAAAAAAAAACAUGUUUGUAUUAGAUUAAAAAAGUAAUGACUAGUGGUGGGCCGUUAUCGGCGUUAACGUGCUGCAUUAACGUGAGACUCUUAUCGGGCGAUAAAAAAAUAUCGCCGUUAAUCUAUAGUACUCAAAGUUGGGUUGGGAGCUGGGUCUACUACACAAGCUAUGAUGAUUUCACCUUGAUGUUUUAGCGCGGAUGUAUAGGCUACCUAGCCGAAUUGCACUGUAGGGGGCGAGAAUGAGUCUUCGAACCUGUGUGUAUGCCUACUGUGAAAUUACCACAUCAAACGUGACGUGCUAACAUUGAUGCAGCUAUGAACCCGCCGGGUUUGUUUCAGGGGAAAAAAAAAUUAUUUUAAGAAGCUUCCCAAUGGAAACGUCGACAAGACUCACGCCUGGUUCACACUCUGUCUGCAGUGCGUAUGCAGUCCGUGUGUGUGGUGCAAAAGCAGCAUGGACUCAUUGUGCUUUCACACAGGAAGCGUUUGAACUCCGCUACUGAUCCGCGGCUGUUUAGUCC
ensembl:lncRNA